CCGAGUUUACAACUCCCAAACCCAAUGUGAACGUUACCAAACUGUUGCCUCGGCGGGAUCUCUGCCCCGGGUGCGUCGCAGCCCCGGACCAAGGCGCCCGCCGGAGGACCAACCAAAACUCUUAUUGUAUACCCCCUCGCGGGUUUUUUACUAUCUGAGCCAUCUCGGCGCCCCUCGUGGGCGUUUCGAAAAUGAAUCAAAACUUUCAACAACGGAUCUCUUGGUUCUGGCAUCGAUGAAGAACGCAGCGAAAUGCGAUAAGUAAUGUGAAUUGCAGAAUUCAGUGAAUCAUCGAAUCUUUGAACGCACAUUGCGCCCGCCAGUAUUCUGGCGGGCAUGCCUGUCCGAGCGUCAUUUCAACCCUCGAACCCCUCCGGGGGGUCGGCGUUGGGGAUCGGCCCUUUACGGGGCCGGCCCCGAAAUACAGUGGCGGUCUCGCCGCAGCCUCUCCUGCGCAGUAGUUUGCACACUCGCAUCGGGAGCGCGGCGCGUCCACAGCCGUUAAACACCCCAAACUUCUGAAAUGUUGACCUCGGAUCAGGUAGGAAUACCCGCUGAACUUAAGCAUAUCAAAAGCCCGGAGGAA
rnacentral:rRNA from 1 species